rnacentral:rRNA from 1 species
UACGUAGGGUGCGAGCGUUGUCCGGAUUUAUUGGGCGUAAAGGGCUCGUAGGCGGCGUGUCGCGUCGGGAGUGAAAGACCGGGGGCUCAACCCCCGGGCCUGCAUUCGAUACGGGCAGACUAGAGUUCGGUAGGGGAGUCUGGAAUUCCUGGUGUAGCGGUGAAAUGCGCAGAUAUCAGGAGGAACACCGGUGGCGAAGGCGGGACUCUGGGCCGAUACUGACGCUGAUGCGCGAAAGCCAGGGGAGCAAACGGGG